rnacentral:lncRNA from 12 species
GAGUAGGUGAUUCUUGGUAUUUUAUAGAUUAUUGAAGAGUGACUGCAUCCUGCUUCCUGGGGUGCAGGAAGGGCUGGGGUCACCUCCAAGCAGAAACAAACAACAAAAUGUGUGGGUCACUCCGUGUUAGACCAUCUUGGAAUUAAACUGGUGCCAGCAUUGGGGAAAAGGAAUUGGUGACCUUUGCAUAUCGCUCCAGGGACUUGCUAAGAACUUCAGGAGCCAGGAUCCUGCAAAGCCGGGGAUCCAAGGAAAGUCUGCACCUUGUUUGGAUUCUGAGCGUCAAGGAGGGUUGUCUUGGAGAACCUGGAGAUGAGAAUCUUCCGGAAGGCCAGAAAAUCAGGCCGGGAGACCCUACAGUGGGGAACAGCACCCAGAUCAUCUUCCCACCACUGGGGGUGUCAGGAGGUCCGCCUGGUUUCUGAAUGUCUGGGUUCCAAGAGAAGGCUGUUUGGUGAACAUGAACUCAAGCAACCAGUGGUGGAUCCCUAUUGCCAUCCCACAGACCAAGCCAUCUCACCUGGACCAUCCUGACAGCCUCCUAAUGGCCCUUCCUUGUCCCUGGUCCUGGUCCCCUUGCACUGAGUACUCCUCCUUGCAGCCAGACUGUUCUUUUCCAGAUAAAAUCUGAUCACACUGCUCCCUUGUUUAAAGCACUUGAGGUACAAUUAGAGUUAGGAUAGAGCCUGUGUGAGUCCAGAUCCUCCCAGAAGCAGACAUCAGGUUAGGAUUAAACAUGCAAGGGUCUUCUUUAGGAAAACAUUUGUGAAUCAGGAGAGGGAGCUGGGGGAGGCUGGGAGAGCCAUUGGGGCAAGAGAGGGGGA